rnacentral:rRNA from 1 species
GACUUCGGUCUGGCGGCGAGUGGCGAACGGGUGAGUAAUGCAUCGGAACGUACCUUUCAGUGGGGGAUAACGUAGCGAAAGUUACGCUAAUACCGCAUAUUCUGUGAGCAGGAAAGCAGGGGAUCGCAAGACCUUGCGCUGAUGGAGCGGCCGAUGUCAGAUUAGCUAGUUGGUGGGGUAAAGGCUCACCAAGGCGACGAUCUGUAGCGGGUCUUAGAGGAUGAUCCGCCACACUGGAACUGAGACACGGUCCAGACUCCUACGGGAGGCAGCAGUGGGGAAUUUUGGACAAUGGGCGCAAGCCUGAUCCAGCCAUGCCGCGUGAGUGAAGAAGGCCUUCGGGUUGUAAGCUCUUUCGGCCGGGAAAAAAUCGCUUGGGUUAAUACCCUGAGUGGAUGAUGGUACCGGAAUAAGAAGCACCGGCUAACUACGUGCCAGCAGCCGCGGUAAUACGUAGGGUGCGAGCGUUAAUCGGAAUUACUGGGCGUAAAGCGUGCGUAGGCGGUUUUGUAAGACAGGCGUGAAAUCCCCGGGCUCAACCUGGGAACUGCGUUUGUGACUGCAAGGCUAGAGUAUGGCAGAGGGGGGUGGAAUUCCACGUGUAGCAGUGAAAUGCGUAGAGAUGUGGAGGAACACGAAUGUCGAAGGCAGCCCCCUGGGCCAAUACUGACGCUCAUGCACGAAAGCGUGGGGAGCAAACAGGAUUAGAUACCCUGGUAGUCCACGCCCUAAACGAUGUCAACUAGGUGUUGGGUGGGUAAAACCAUUUGGUACCGUAGCUAACGCGUGAAGUUGACCGCCUGGGGAGUACGGCCGCAAGGUUAAAACUCAAAGGAAUUGACGGGGACCCGCACAAACGGUGGAUGAUGUGGAUUAAUUCGAUGCAACGCGAAAAACCUUACCUACCCUUGACAUGCCAGGAACUUGCCAGAGAUGGCUUGGUGCCCGAAAGGGAGCCUGGACACAGGUGCUGCAUGGCUGUCGUCAGCUCGUGUCGUGAGAUGUUGGGUUAAGUCCCGCAACGAGCGCAACCCUUGUCGUUAAUUGCCAUCAUUUAGUUGGGCACUUUAACGAGACUGCCGGUGACAAACCGGAGGAAGGUGGGGAUGACGUCAAGUCCUCAUGGCCCUUAUGGGUAGGGCUUCACACGUCAUACAAUGGUCGGUACAAAGGGUUGCCAAGCCGCGAGGCGGAGCCAAUCCCAGAAAGCCGAUCGUAGUCCGGAUCGCAGGCUGCAACUCGCCUGCGUGAAGUCGGAAUCGCUAGUAAUCGUGGAUCAGCAUGUCACGGUGAAUACGUUCCCGGGUCUUGUACACACCGCCCGUCACACCAUGGGAGCGGGUUCCGCCAGAAGUAGGUAGCCUAACCGCAAGGAGGGCGCUUACCACGGCGGGGUUCGUGAC